rfam:Sus scrofa isolate TJ Tabasco breed Duroc chromosome 4, whole genome shotgun sequence.
UAGUCUAGUGGCUAGGAUUCCUGGUUUUCAACCAGGCUGCCCAGGUUCAAUUCCUGA